rnacentral:rRNA from 1 species
UACGAAGGGGGCUAGCGUUGCUCGGAAUUACUGGGCGUAAAGCGCACGUAGGCGGUUUCUUAAGUCGGAGGUGAAAUCCUGGAGCUCAACUCCAGAACUGCCUUCGAUACUGGGGAACUUGAGUCCGGGAGAGGUGAGUGGAACUGCGAGUGUAGAGGUGAAAUUCGUAGAUAUUCGCAAGAACACCAGUGGCGAAGGCGGCUCACUGGCCCGGUACUGACGCUGAGGUGCGAAAGCGUGGGGAGCAAACAGG